GUGAAAGCCUUCGGGUCAACCUGAGAUGUGCAUCAGAAACUGUUGAAGUUGAGUGCAGAAGAGGAGAGUGGAACUCCAUGUGUAGCGGUGGAAUGCGUAGAUAUAUGGAAGAACACCAGUGGCGAAGGCGGCUCUCUGGUCUGCAACUGACGCUGAGGCUCGAAAGCAUGGGUAGCGAACA
rnacentral:rRNA from 1 species